rnacentral:rRNA from 1 species
GAUGAACGCUAGCUACAGGCUUAACACAUGCAAGUCGAGGGGAAACGAUAUUGGAAGCUUGCUUCCGAUAGGCGUCGACCGGCGCACGGGUGAGUAACGCGUAUCCAACCUGCCCAUCACUUGGGGAUAACCUUGCGAAAGUAAGACUAAUACCCAAUGACGUCUCUAGAAGACAUCUGAAAGAGAUUAAAGAUUUAUCGGUGAUGGAUGGGGAUGCGUCUGAUUAGCUUGUUGGCGGGGUAACGGCCCACCAAGGCGACGAUCAGUAGGGGUUCUGAGAGGAAGGUCCCCCCACAUUGGAACUGAGACACGGUCCAAACUCCUACGGGAGGCAGCAGUGAGGAAUAUUGGUCAAUGGACGAGAGUCUGAACCAGCCAAGUAGCGUGCAGGAAGACGGCCCUAUGGGUUGUAAACUGCCUUUAUAAGGGAAUAAAGUGAGUCUCGUGAGACUUUUUGCAUGUACCUUAUGAAUAAGGACCGGCUAAUUCCGUGCCAGCAGCCG